rnacentral:tRNA from 5 species
GUCCCCGUCGUCUAGCCUGGCCUAGGACAUCGCCCUUUCACGGCGGUAACACGGGUUCAAAUCCCGUCGGGGACGCCA